CGCUUCCCGAUUCGGAAUUCUAGGGUUUCGCUUCCCGGCGCCUCAAUCCGAGAGAGGAGGUUUUCUAGCUAUUGAGGUGUGUGUAGCCACAAUGAAGCCCAUUUUCUGUGGCAACUUUGAGUAUGAUGCUCGCCAGUCUGAGCUUGAAAGACUUUUCAAAAGAUAUGGGAAGGUUGACAGGGUAGAUAUGAAGUCAGGAUUUGCCUUUGUCUACAUGGAGGAUGAGCGGGAUGCUGAGGAUGCAAUUCGAG
rnacentral:misc_RNA from 1 species